rnacentral:SRP_RNA from 1 species
GCUGGGCGUGGUGGCUCACGCCUGUAAUCCCAGCACUUUGGGAGGCUGAGACAGGUGGAUUACCUGAGGUCAGGAGUUCGAAACCAGCCUGACCAACAUGGAGAAACCCUGUCUCUA